UACGGAGGGUGCAAGCGUUAUCCGGAUUCACUGGGGUUAAAGGGUGCGUAGGCGGCCCUGUAAGUCAGUGCUGAAAUAUCCCGGCUUAACCGGGAGGGUGGCAUUGAUACUGCAGGGCUUGAGUAAAGUUGAGGUUGGCGGAAUUGACGGUGUAGCGGUGAAAUGCUUAGAUAUCGUCAAGAACACCUAUUGCGUAGGCAGCUAACUAAGCUUUAACUGACGCUGAGGCACGAAAGUGUGGGGAUCAAACAGG
rnacentral:rRNA from 1 species